rnacentral:rRNA from 1 species
AUUGAACGCUGGCGGCAUGCUUUACACAUGCAAGUCGAACGGUAACAGGCCUUCGGGUGCUGACGAGUGGCGAACGGGUGAGUAAUGCAUCGGAACGUACCCAGAGGUGGGGGAUAACGCAGCGAAAGCUGUGCUAAUACCGCAUGUGAUCUGAGGAUGAAAGCGGGGGACCGAGCAGCAAUGUUUGGCCUCGCGCCUUUGGAGCGGCCGAUGUCGGAUUAGCUAGUUGGUGGGGUAAAGGCCUACCAAGGCGACGAUCCGUAGCUGGUCUGAGAGGACGACCAGCCACACUGGGACUGAGACACGGCCCAGACUCCUACGGGAGGCAGCAGUGGGGAAUUUUGGACAAUGGGCGCAAGCCUGAUCCAGCAAUGCCGCGUGCGGGAAGAAGGCCUUCGGGUUGUAAACCCCUUUUGGCAGGAACGAAACGGUGUCCGCUAAUACCGGGCGCUAAUGACGGUACCUGCAGAAUAAGCACCGGCUAACUACGUG